rnacentral:rRNA from 1 species
AAUCAACGCUGGCGGCGUGCCUCAGACAUGCAAGUCGAACGUGAAAGGCUUCUUCGGAAGCCGAGUAAAGUGGCGCACGGGUGAGUAACACGUGAGUAAUCUGCCUUCACGGUGGGGGAUACCAAUCGGAAACGGUUGUUAAUACCGCAUAAUGCAGCGGCAUCAUAAGAUGACAGUUGUUAAAGCGGGGGAGCGAAGCAAUUCGUCCUCGCGCCGGAAGAGGAGCUCGCGGCAGAUUAGGUAGUUGGUGAGGUAACGGCUCACCAAG